UACGUAGGGUGCAAGCGUUGUCCGGAAUUAUUGGGCGUAAAGAGCUCGUAGGCGGCUUGUCGCGUCGGCUGUGAAAACCUGGGGCUCAACCCCGGGCCUGCAGCCGAUACGGGCAAGCUAGAAUUCGGUAGGGGAGACUGGAAUUCCUGGUGUAGCGGUGGAAUGCGCAGAUAUCAGGAGGAACACCAAUAGCGAAGGCAGCUCGCUGGGACGUUACUGACACUGAGGCGCGAAAGCGUGGGGAGCGAACAGG
rnacentral:rRNA from 1 species